rnacentral:rRNA from 1 species
GACGAACGCUGGCGGCGUGCCUAAUACAUGCAAGUAGAACGCACAGUUUAUACCGUAGCUUGCUACACCAUAGACUGUGAGUUGCGAACGGGUGAGUAACGCGUAGGUAACCUGCCUGGUAGCGGGGGAUAACUAUUGGAAACGAUAGCUAAUACCGCAUAAUAUUAAUUAUUGCAUGAUAAUUAAUUGAAAGGUGCAAUUGCACCACUACCAGAUGGACCUGCGUUGUAUUAGCUAGUAGGUGAGGUAACGGCUCACCUAGGCGACGAUACAUAGCCGACCUGAGAGGGUGAUCGGCCACACGGGGACUGAGACACGGCCCAGACUCCUACGGGAGGCAGCAGUAGGGAAUCUUCGGCAAUGGACGAAAGUCUGACCGAGCAACGCCGCGUGAGUGAAGAAGGUUUUCGGAUCGGAAAGCUCUGUUGUAAGAGAAGAACGGGUGUGAGAGUGGAAAGUGCACACUGUGACGGUAUCUUACCAGAAAGGGACGGCUAACUACGUG